CCUCACGCGAUGAGAUGAGCCGAUGCCGGAUUAGCUAGUUGGCGGGGUAAAGGCCCACCAAGGCGACGAUCCGUAGCUGGUCUGAGAGGAUGAUCAGCCACACUGGAACUGAGACACGGUCCAGACUCCUACGGGAGGCAGCAGUGGGGAAUAUUGGACAAUGGGCGCAAGCCUGAUCCAGCCAUGCCGCGUGUGUGAAGAAGGCCUUCGGGUUGUAAAGCACUUUUGUUGGGGAAGAAACCGGCCGGACUAAUACUCCGGUUGAAUGACGGUACCCAAAGAAUAAGCACCGGCUAACUUCGUGCCAGCAGCCGCGGUAAUACGUAGGGUGCGAGCGUUAAUCGGAAUUACUGGGCGUAAAGCGUGCGCAGGCGGUUUUGUAAGACCGAUGUGAAAUCCCCGGGCUUAACCUGGGAACUGCAUUGGUGACUGCAAAGCUUGAGUGUGUCAGAGGGAGGUGGAAUUCCGCGUGUAGCAGUGAAAUGCGUAGAUAUGCGGAGGAACACCGAUGGCGAAGGCAGCCUCCUGGGAUAACACUGACGCUCAUGCACGAAAGCGUGGGGAACAAACAGGAUUAGAUACCCUGGUAGUCCACGCCCUAAACGAUGUCUACUAGUUGUCGGGGAUUAAUUUCCUUGGUAACGCAGCUAACGCGUGAAGUAGACCGCCUGGGGAGUACGGUCGCAAGAUUAAAACUCAAAGGAAUUGACGGGGACCCGCACAAGCGGUGGAUGAUGUGGAUUAAUUCGAUGCAACGCGAAAAACCUUACCUACGCUUGACAUGUCUGGAAUCCCGUAGAGAUAUGGGAGUGCUCGAAAGAGAGCCAGAACACAGGUGCUGCAUGGCUGUCGUCAGCUCGUGUCGUGAGAUGUUGGGUUAAGUCCCGCAACGAGCGCAACCCUUAUCAUUAGUUGCUACGAAAGGGCACUCUAAUGAGACUGCCGGUGACAAACCGGAGGAAGGUGGGGAUGACGUCAAGUCCUCAUGGCCCUUAUGCGUAGGGCUUCACACGUCAUACAAUGGUCGGUACAGAGGGUUGCCAAGCCGCGAGGUGGAGCCAAUCCCAGAAAGCCGAUCGUAGUCCGGAUUGUUCUCUGCAACUCGAGAGCAUGAAGUCGGAAUCGCUAGUAAUCGCGGAUCAGCAUGUCGCGGUGAAUACGUUCCCGGGUCUU
rnacentral:rRNA from 1 species